rnacentral:rRNA from 1 species
CAAGGAAUAUUGCACAAUGGGGGAAACCCUGAUGCAGCAACGCCGCGUGGGCGACGAAGGCCUUCGGGUUGUAAAGCCCUUUUCUUAGGGAAGAGCAAGGACGGUACCUGAGGAAUAAGUCUCGGCUAACUACGUGCCAGCAGCCGCGGUAAAACGUAGGAGACGAGCGUUAUCCGGAUUUACUGGGCGUAAAGGGCAAGUAGGCGGUUAUCAAAGUUGGACGUGACAAAUCUCGGCUCAACUGAGAAGGGUCGUCCAAAACUAGGUGACUAGAGGACAGGAGAGGGGAGCGGAAUUCCUAGUGUAGCGGUGGAAUGCUUAGAGAUUAGGAAGAACACCAGUGGCGAAGGCGGCUCUCUGGCCUGCACCUGACGCUGAGAGGCGAAAGCUAGGGGAGCAAACGGG